rnacentral:lncRNA from 1 species
AACAAAAACAGAAAAACAGGCAUUUCUUGCCACUGGGUCUUAGCUUCAGUUUUCAGCUAGUGCAUAUCUUAUACUGCAAAAUUCAAUGCUCCUUGUUUUGGUAAGAAGACCUUAAUAUGUUUGCUCUCUUCACAGGUCUCAGCUCUCACCUUGCAAAUGUAUGUGUAACAUCUGCCUUUACAUUCCUAUGUGUAGCCAGAGUACAGUCAAGCUGAAGUAAAGCACAUUUGCAAGUGAGGGAAGAGUUACUUUCCAGGGACACUGUCUGACAAAGAACUAAUGCAACAAGCAGAUUCUACAGGACAAUUUUCCAGGACAUUGUAUUCCUCAAAUUUGAUGCUUUUACAGACAUGGUUUUCUCCCUCUGCAUGCUGCAAUGCAGUGAACACGAGCCCAUGCUAAAUCCCAAAUGCCUGGCUACUUUCUGCAGAGCAUGAAUGGCCUUUCAAACCACCACUGGUCCCCAGCUCCCCAUCCAUGCUGUCUGUCCAAGAAGACUCUUUUAUGCCAAAACUACAGGCUCAACCCUUCCUUGGAAGGCAAAUGUUUUUACUGCACAGGUGUCCACUACAAGCUGUAUACAGUGUUUUCUACCCAAAGUUGUCUCAUAUACACCCAAUUCUGAAGGCAAAGGAAAUCCAUCAAAUCAAAUCCAAGAU